UGGUGGAGUGAUUUGUCUGCUUAAUUGCGAUAACGAACGAGACCUUAACCUGCUAAAUAGUCAGGCCGGCUUUUGCUGGUCGCCGACUUCUUAGAGGGACUAUCAGCUUUUAGCUGAUGGAAGUUUGAGGCAAUAACA
rnacentral:rRNA from 1 species